UACGAAGGGGGCUAGCGUUGUUCGGAAUUACUGGGCGUAAAGCGAGUGUAGGUGGUUGUCGUAGUCAGGUGUGAAAGCCUUGAGCUCAACUCAAGAAAUGCACUUGAUACUGGGCAGCUAGAGGACCGGAGAGGAUAGUGGAAUUCCCAGUGUAGUGGUGAAAUACGUAGAGAUUGGGAAGAACACCAGUGGCGAAGGCGGCUAUCUGGACGGUUUCUGACACUAAGACUCGAAAGCGUGGGGAGCAAACAGG
rnacentral:rRNA from 1 species